UAAAUAUUCCGAUUAACAUAAACAAUAAUAAGAAUAAAAACGAGAAUAAAAAGUUAUUGAUCAUAAAAAAACCACACACCAUCAAAUUAUUACCAUAUGGUAUUUUAUACAAUCUCUAUUCAAGCCUUUGCUUUGAGCAAUGCCCUUUACUGGGAUGUAUCUACUGAUAUCUGUAAUGCUAAGUAGGGAACUACUAUAUUUUGGAAGGACCGAAAGCUUUAUGUUCUGGCAUAACCCACCGAAUUUAUUGGUACUUCAGAUGUAUUCGAACCAAGAUGGCGGACACCGGAACAUAGUUUGUGUACCAGGUUAGUGUCGGCUAUAAUUUCAGGUACAAAUACUACGGGAGUCACUCGGCUAGUCCCUUAACUCGUAACAGAACUAAAAUAAGAAAAAUUGGAAUAAAAUUAUGGCCUAACCCUAAUCUGGUACACAUACUUCGGGAGUGCCCAUUUAUUAUGAACUGGGCUAAGGAACCAGGAUUUGAGAUUUAAUGAGCUUUCAGUUCAUUACACAUUAUGAGAAGUAAUCAACGAAUACCAAGCAAUAGCUUAGGCAUAUAGCUGAAUUUUUAGUGCAAUCAGAGUUAUGCAAUUUGCGUUUUAAACUCUGCCUAUAUGUAAAGAUAUACCAAUCCUAGCCAAAUCUUCAAUCAGUAUUUAGUCAAGGUUAGAGCAUAUUCAAUAAAAGCAGCAAUAAAGUAACGAACGUAUCAGUAACAUCAGGAAUAAAUUGAUAAUAAGUCAUUUUACAAGUCAAAAGGAAUAAAAAUUAUUUCAAUUAUUCCAUAACUAGACAAGAAAACCAAGGUUAGAUAUAAAAACAUCUUAUAACUUUGAAUUCAUUCUGAUUUACAUUCGGCGAAUAUAGUAAGGACAUUAUAGGGAAUUUAUGCAAUUUGAUAAAAGGUUCUACUUCAAGAUUCAGAAUUUUUUUUCUAUUCGUUAAUUUUUUUAAAGUGAUAUUGGGAUAUUUCAUACCAUCAAUGAAUAUUCAAUCUAUUUCAUUCACACAGACCAUAUCAAAAUAGAUACAGCACUUAGAAAUUAAUUUUUCAAAAAUUCAUAAUGAAAACAAUAUAACUGUCAAAUUUUCAGAAUGAUAAUUGGUAUAAUUCAUAACUUUGAUUUUGAAAAAUAAAUCCAUUUCUAUUAUUAGAAACAAAUGAAUGACAAAUUUAAUUACGAAAUUUUAAAUAUGACAUUUCAUUGCAAGGAACAAAAAUUUUUCAAAUUAUUUGCGCAUUUUCAAUAAAAACAAUAUAUCUGGUAAUUUUUAAAGUAAGAUUCGGUACAAUUCAUAACUUCAAAUAAAAAAAACAUUUUUAAGUAUCCUAGACCCUAGUUCUCAAAUACAAAACAAGAUCUCAGAAAUGACAUUUCAUUGCAAAAAGCAAAUAUUUUCUGAAAUUAUUAGAGCAUUUUUGAUGAAAAUAAUAUAUCUCUCGAAUUUUGAGAAUUAGAUUUGGUAUAAUCCACAAUAUUAAUUAAAAAUUUGCAAAACUUUAGGUCUGGAAUCCAAAACUACUUGAAAAUUGCAUUCACAUAUAUCGAGAAUAAAGACAAAAUUAGGCGCUCCAGAAGUAUGUGUACCAUGGAGGUAACUAAUUUUGUUCUCCUAUUUUACAUCAAGUUGUGUAAAGGGACUAAAACCUAUGGGCAGGGGGUAUACUUGGCUUAAAACAGAAAGUCCCCAACAUGUAAUAGAACCACCGGUAAAAUAAGGAAAAUCGGAAUAAAAUUAUGGCCUAACCCUAACUUGAUGCAUAUACUGCGAGAGUACCCAGAAUUAUAAAGAUAUAACUGGUAUGAAUGAAAUUACCAGAGUGUCCAUGAGUUCAUUUCAUAAAUAUUCAGCAUAAAAAUACACAAACAAAAAAGUUCAUUUUCAAAUGUGCGUAAUUAAUCUCUUAAAAUGGUGAGGCAGCACUGGCAGAGACUCAAAAAAUUCAUUAGUAAAAUAACAAUCAGCCAAUCUAAUAAAAAAAACUCAGUGGCAACUAUCAGACUCACAAAGUGACUCCCAUCAUCUAAAUGGAAUGAAUCGAGCUCUUAAUAUUCUUCCAAAAGAGUAGUUUUUAAACAGGGUUCCAAAUUCUAGAGUUUCGCCAGUGCAGUCAACAGAUUCUCCAAUUUCCAUUCAAAUCAGGGUUUCUAUAUUAUUAUAUGUAUAUUGGUAUAAUAUAGGGUGUCCAUUAAGUCUCAAAAUUAUUUAAAACUGCAAAGGGAAUUUAUUGAUACCAUAUAUAUUGUUUUGGCCCUCACAGAUGUAUUAAAUGAAUUAAAAAUCUGUAAACAAGUACUGAUUAAAAAACAACAAACCUGGUCAAGAUAUAUUGAGAAUUGAAUUUAUAACAAAAUUGAAAUUGUAAAGAGAUAUUAUGGACACUCUGUAUAAUGAAAUAUCUAUUAUUGAACUGUUCUGCCAGAGCAUUAGAUUUGAUUUCAUAUAUAUUUUUAGUUUAUACAAUAUAAACAACUAAAAUAUAACCUCGAGUGUCUGGGAGGUUACAUUCAUGCACCACCGAAGAUUGUGAAUCGAAUACCAUUAUAAACAAACAUAGCUUUACAAGUGAAAAUGAUUAUGAAAUAACAAAUAAAAACAGAGAAAUAGUGAAAAAAUAUAUACAAGAAAGAUCAUUGCGGAAUUAUUAAAUGAGGAAAAAAUAGUUCUUUAAAAUAUUUAAAACACAAACUAAGCAGAUUGAAGUUGAAAAAGGAACAGUUCUUAUAUUGUAUUUUUGAUUGCUUAUAGAAAUGGUCCAUUCCUUCAUCUAUUUGCG